UACGGGGGGGGCAAGCGUUGUUCGGAAUUACUGGGCGUAAAGGGCUCGUAGGCGGCCAACUAAGUCGGACGUGAAAUCCCCAGGCUCAACCUGGGAACUGCGUCCGAUACUGGAUGGCUUGAAUUCGGGAGAGGGAUGCAGAAUUCCAGGUGUAGCGGUGAAAUGCGUAGAUAUCUGGAGGAAUACCGGUGGCGAAGGCGGCAUCCUGGACCGACAUUGACGCUGAGGCACGAAGGUCAGGGGAGCAAACGGG
rnacentral:rRNA from 1 species